CAUUGUAUUUGGCUACCCGAACUUAGCCACUUCUAUAGAAUUGGAAAAUUGGGCUCAAACUAAUAGAUUUUGACUUUUGUGUUUAAAGACCAAGUAUUUUGUCCCUGUUGUUCAAUUGGUUUGCUAUGGUAUUCUUAUAUCCGGCAGUUUAAACCAAAUUUGAAACUUGCUCACAGGUUGCAACCUUUUAGGGAAAAUGUCGUGAAAAUUUAUCAAAUAGUGGUUUUUGGUUAGGAAGAAAAUUAUUUUCCAAAGAAAAUAUUUUGUGAAAAAUAUCAUUUAUCAGUGUUUGAUUAGGAAGGGAAACCUUGAAGUAACUGUAAAUUUGUUGUUAUGUGACCAGAAGGUCGCGGUUUAAAGUCAUGGAUAUAGCCUGUUGCAGAAAUGUGAGGUAAGGUUGUGGAUAACAAAUCCUUGUUCGGCCCUUCUUUGGACCCGUGCAAAGCGGAAGCUUUAUGCACCGAGCUAUCCUUAUGUAUAUGACAAGGUCUAAAAGUAUUGACUUAGUGAAAUCAUACAAGGUAUUGAAUCGGGCAUGUUGCAGAUGAUGUUGUAUCAUUGAUAAAUUAGUGAGAUUGAAUGAGUUUGGGAUAUUUUAGUGGUGGUGAUGAUUCUGUAGCAGUAGUGUUGCUACUUCUUUUCAUAUUGGUAAAAAUAUUCUUUUGAUAAAACGACUUCUAGAUUUUAUUAUAAUUACCCUUUGAAAAUACUUUUUUGUUUUUUGCAAAGAUGUUUAUCGCACAUUGUACUAAGCAACUAAUCUAAUGUGUUGCGUAUAGGAUCCCUUUGUGAUCUUAAACAUUUCAAUAAAGAAUAAAGUGUGUGACCUUUGAU